rnacentral:rRNA from 1 species
CCUACGGGAGGCAGCAGUGGGGAAUAUUGCACAAUGGGGGAAACCCUGAUGCAGCGACGCCGCGUGAGUGAAGGAGUAUUUCGGUAUGUAAAGCUCUAUCAGCAGGGAAGAAAAUGACGGUACCUGAUUAAGAAGCCCCGGCUAACUACGUGACAGCAGCCGCGGUAAUACGUAGGGGGCAAGCGUUAUCCGGAUUUACUGGGUGUAAAGGGAGCGUAGACGGCAGCACAAGUCUGGAGUGAAAUGCCUGGGCUUAACCCCGGAACUGCUUUGGAAACUGUGCAGCUAGAGUGCAGGAGAGGUAAGUGGAAUGCCUAGUGUAGCGGUGAAAUGCGUAGAUAUUAGGAGGAACACCAGUGGCGAAGGCGGCUUACUGGACUGUAACUGACGUUGAGGCUCGAAAGCGUGGGGAGCAAACAGGAUUAGAUACCCGAGUAGUC